rnacentral:rRNA from 1 species
CCUACGGGGGGCAGCAGUCGAGAAUCAUUCACAAUGGGGGAAACCCUGAUGGUGCGACGCCGCGUGGGGGAAUGAAGGUCUUCGGAUUGUAAACCCCUGUCAUGUGGGAGCAAAUUAAAAAGAUAGUACCACAAGAGGAAGAGACGGCUAACUCUGUGCCAGCAGCCGCGGUAAUACAGAGGUCUCAAGCGUUGUUCGGAAUCACUGGGCGUAAAGCGUGCGUAGGCUGUUUCGUAAGUCGUGUGUGAAAGGCGCGGGCUCAACCCGCGGACGGCACAUGAUACUGCGAGACUAGAGUGAUGGAGGGGGAACCGGAAUGCUCGGUGUAGCAGUGAAAUGCGUAGAUAUCGAGAGGAACACUCGUGGCGAAGGCGGGUUCCUGGACAUUAACUGACGCUGAGGCACGAAGGCCAGGGGAGCGAAAGGGAUUAGAUACCCGAGUAGUC